rnacentral:misc_RNA from 1 species
GUGAAUCAUCAAAUUUUUGAACGCAAAUUGCACUCUCCUCGGAGAGUAUGCCUGUUUGAGGGUCAGCCUAUAAAAAUCGACAUCGUUGCUGUUUCGCGGUGGCGUUCGUCGGAAAUUGGUCAUCUUAAAUCCUUUUGAUUUAAGCGACUUAAAAUUUUCUUUUGUUUCCUGGACGUUUUUUAGGUCCUUUUUUUUUAACGUUUUAGGUAUUGG